rnacentral:rRNA from 1 species
GGGCGUGAUCCUUGCGGGUGUGAUCAUACCAGAUCCCAUCAGAACUCCGCAGUUAAGCAUGCUCGGGCUAGAGUAGUACUAGGAUGGGUUACCUCCCAGGAAGUCCUAGUGUUGCACCUU